rnacentral:rRNA from 1 species
GCAUAUCAAUAAGCGGAGGAAAAGAAACCAACAGGGAUUGCCUCAGUAACGGCGAGUGAAGCGGCAAAAGCUCAAAUUUGAAAUCUGGCUCUUUCAGAGUCCGAGUUGUAAUUUGUAGAGGAUGCUUCGGCUUACGUUUCGGUCUAAGUUCCUUGGAACAGGACGUCACAGAGGGUGAGAAUCCCGUUUGUGGCCGAGACUUCCGCCAUGUGAAGCUCCUUCGACGAGUCGAGUUGUUUGGGAAUGCAGCUCUAAAUGGGAGGUAAAUUUCUUCUAAAGCUAAAUACCGGCCAGAGACCGAUAGCGCACAAGUAGAGUGAUCGAAAGAUGAAAAGCACUUUGGAAAGAGAGUUAAAAAGUACGUGAAAUUGUUGAAAGGGAAGCGCUUGCGACCAGACUUGCCCGCGGAUGCUCAACCGGUCCUUCGGCCGGUGCACUCUUCCGCGGUCAGGCCAGCAUCAGUUCGAGCGGUCGGAUAAAGGCCUUGGGAAUGUGGCUCUCUUCGGGGAGUGUUAUAGCCCUUGGUGUAAUACGGCCUGCUUGGACUGAGGCCCGCGCUUCGGCUAGGAUGCUGGCGUAAUGGUCGUAAGCGGCCCGUCUUGAAACACGGACCAAGGAGUCUAACAUCUAUGCGAGUGUUUGGGUGUCAAACCCGUACGCGAAAUGAAAGUAAACGGAGGUGGGAAUCUUCGGAUGCACCAUCGACCGAUCCUGAUGUCUUCGGAUGGAUUUGAGUAAGAGCAUAGCUGUUGGGACCCGAAAGAUGGUGAACUAUGCCUGAAUAGGGUGAAGCCAGAGGAAACUCUGGUGGAGGCUCGCAGCGGUUCUGACGUGCAAAUCGAUCGUCAAAUUUGGGGUAUAGGGGCGAAAAGACUAAUCGAACCAUCUAGUAGCUGGUUCCCUGCCGAAG